rnacentral:tRNA from 1 species
GGAGACGUGGCCGAGUGGCUGAAGGCAACGGUUUGCUAAAUCGUCAUACGCUGUAAGGCGUAUCGAGGGUUCGAAUCCCUCCGUCUCCGCCA